UACAGAGGGUGCAAGCGUUAAUCGGAUUUACUGGGCGUAAAGCGCGCGUAGGCGGCUAAUUAAGUCAAAUGUGAAAUCCCCGAGCUUAACUUGGGAAUUGCAUUCGAUACUGGUUAGCUAGAGUGUGGGAGAGGAUGGUAGAAUUCCAGGUGUAGCGGUGAAAUGCGUAGAGAUCUGGAGGAAUACCGAUGGCGAAAGGCAGCCAUCUGGCCUAACACUGACGCUGAGGUGCGAAAGCAUGGGGGAGCAAACAGGG
rnacentral:rRNA from 1 species